ensembl:lncRNA
CUCCAGUUACUUUGGGAAAAAUAGCUAGUGGCCUCUGAAGUACAACCAGAAGCUGCAAGCAGAGGCUGUCUGCUGGUCAUCUCACUUGCUGAUAGGUAGAUAGGGAGUGACAGCCAGUAGAGAAACGGGUGUGAGAGUUAAAUGAUAUUUAUUAUACAUAUGAUGGGGUCUGGAAUAAAAGAACUUGGCAUUCCACAUGAGGUAACAGAAGGAGAGGGGGAUAGAAACUAUCUAAAAAGAUAAUGUCAGAGAAUUUCUAAAAAUGAUGAAAUGAACAGUAACCAGAUAAAGGGAGCACAGUGAAUAUCAAAUCAGGUUAAUAAAGACAUUAUAGGUUUGCUAUUAGCAAAAGGGAUUACAAAGUUGUCAGAAGAGAAGGCCAGAUUAGUGUCAGAUAACUAAGUACCAGGAAAAUGGCUUCUUCUAUAGGUAAAAUAGAAUCUUGAAGACAAUGGAAUCAAGAAUCAAGAGAAAAUAGCUGAAUAACUAUCAGUUUAAAAAUAUAUAGCCAACAAAACUAUCUUUUUUAAGAAUUAGGAAGAGAGCCAACAAGAUGGCUCAGAAUGUAUAGGUGCUUGCCACCAAGACUGACAACCUGAUUUCUGUCCCUGGGGCCCACAUGAUAGGAGAGAAGCAACUCCCACCAAGUUGUUCUCUGACCUACACUGACACACACACACACACACACACACACACACACACACACACACACACACACACUGGCUUAUUCAUAUUCCUUUCUCUAAAUAUAUACACAAUCAGAAAUAUUCAAGUUUUUUUUGAAGAAUUAGGGCUUCUCUAGGACAGAAUUGCAGGAAGAAAGACAAACCCAAGUAUGGGUACAGGCUCCUCAAGGGACAGUACCCAGGUUCAACAACUGGCAUGGCUUGUAAGCUUUUGACUGUCAGAUAUAGCCAGGUAGCCUAGAAGGGUCUUAACAUUGUCCUUAUCCUAUGUAAUGAAACCAUUAAGACAUCCUUGGUCUCCAGUCAUAACAAUGUGCUCCACUAGGUGAGCUGUUAUCUUCCUGCUCUUCCUCCUUCCUUCCCCUCCCCUCGCCUCUCCUCCUCCAGUUUUAAAAGUCAGCAUCUUACAAAUGCACAGGCUAACACACUUGCCAUCACUUGCUGUAGAUGUUACUUCAGCGCUUUUUCCAGAGUAGUCUCAAACAUAGAUUGCUGUUACUUCUUCCCUUCUUCUGAUGGGGAGUGCUCUGUGUUCCCGACUCAACAGUAUUAACAUUAAUGACCAUCAGCUCUGUAAUACCAAAGUUCCAGCCCUUGGUUGCAAAUAAUAUCCAUUCUUUAGAGAUGCUAAGCUACUUUACACAAUCUCAAGAAGCUCUAGCGUAAUGCAAAAAGUACCGAAGUCCAUUGCAGGCUAAGCCAUGGAAGAGAUGGAGUUUGAGCAGUUAGAAACUCACAGGCUGCAUUGUUGCCAUCAGCUAAACAUGGUUCUGACCACUUCCACCACCAAUGUGCUUCAGUUCCAUGCUGGGUCUACCACAACCAGUUUUUCUAUUUAAAUUGCUGCCCUUUUGAUGGAAAUACAACACACACUUUUUUCUCUAUUGACACCCAUGAUAUUGUUUUAUUCUUUUAAUGUUUAUUUAGUCUAGACAUCUAAAUUAGACUGUAUUUUUACCCUCCUCUUAAACAACGUAAGGCCCUUGCCAUCUCUUGAUGGUAAGCAGCCUUCUCAUUUUUGUACAAUUUCUGUCUAAUAUUUUAGCCACACAAUCAAUCUUCAUUAUUCACAGCUACCAUACUUGUGAUCUCACCUACGCUCUUAAAUGUACUUGUAACAAUCUGUAACCUCCAGAUCAGUCAGGCAAUGGGGAGGUGAGAGCAAAUGCUGAGUCAUCUUAGAAGUUCUUGGAGGUUCUUUGAGGAAAGAAUCAAAAUAGAACACUGUCAAAGCCACCAGAGGCCAAAGUAAGCAGAGCUGGAGCAUGGGAGCUGAAACCAAGAAGAGAGACAAGCCAGGUUACAUUGCUAGGCUCUUCCCAGCCCUCCUGACUACUCCAUCCCAGAAUGCCAGCACACAGUUAAGUUCCUAGUCUGGCAUUUUCUAUUUCCUUCCAUGAAAUUCCAUUCUACCUCACUUUGCUUCACUUCUCUCUUUUUGAAUAGUUACCUACCUGGUUAAACUUUUCACUCUCAUUUUUAAUAAUACUAAUGGAAGAGAACACCUACCUACUAAACACAUAUUUUAAUAAAACAAAUAGUAUAUCAUCAAUGUUCUUUGAUACAUGUGAAAUGAACCACAAUAUCUAAUCAGUUAUUUAAGAAGAAUGGGGGGGAAAAAUGAAAGGCCAAAACAAACAAAUGGGAAAAUGGAAGUAGAACAAAGCAGACAACAAAGAAGUAAAUUUUAAAAUAUUGUAUUUAAUACACUUGUAAUACACUGCUCUAAAAGGUAGGAUAGAAUUCUAGGCCCAAGGAAAUAUUAUAAAAUAAAACAGAGCUUUGAGCUUUAAACUAUAAUGGCAUGCAAGGUUAUAGUAGAAGAAUUGAAAGUUAAGGUAGAAGUAUAAUUUUAAAAACAAAAGGAAGAUAUCAGGAGAAAAUAUUUAAAAAUUAAGGACUCAGGCCAUUAACAAUGAAAAUCAAAGAAUAUUAAGCAAAUAAGCAGUCAAUAAUAAUAAUUUAAGAACUAAACUACAAGAGUCAUUGUUACGAUAAAGCUUUCCACCAAAAGCCGCCUGAGCCCCACCGCCACGUGUGAGCUUUAUGCCAGCCGCCUGCCUGAGUUAGGGCCCAAAUGAAUACACAGAAACUUGUAUUAGGUACAAUGCUGCUUGGCCAAUGACUAGGAUUCUCAUCUGUUAGCUCAGUCUUAACUAUCAUAAACCUACAUAUUUUAUAAGACUUAUCUUAUCGGAUGCCUUAUUGGCGUCCCCCCUUGUCGGUGGAUCACAUUGAGCCGCUGGAGCAGGAGCAGAG